rnacentral:misc_RNA from 1 species
UGUAAGCACCUGACUGCGAGUUAAUCUGAACCGUGGUGACACGCUCUUCGAUAUAGUCCUUGACCAGAUUCUCGCGGUCCUGAAGACCAGGGUAGAGAGUGGGUCCAGUACCAUUCUGCCAGUAGUUGUUAGAUGGACGCGCC